GAAGGGGUGUCUGAACGUUCUGAGGGGGGCUCCGGCUUCUUGGAGGGGGUCACACCCAGAUUUUCGUGGAAUGUCUGCUGAUCACAGAAAUUAUUUCAGAUGUUCCCCAAAGUGCAAACCCAAUUGUCACUCAGACAUAAAAAUUUAACACCCUAUCUCAAAAGUGGGAGCGACUUACCACAUUGGGACAGCGGGCUUCUGAACACGGAGACGGAGACAGAGAAGCGGCAGGAUUGGAUUUUGUGAUCUUUUUUCCUUGCUGGGAAGUAAAUCUAAUUCCACGUGCGACUGCAGUGACAAUGCAUGGGCACUUGAGACUAUCCCAGAAGAAAUGAAACUACUGAAAUCAAUGAUGAUGUAGCUAUUCACCCGUGGCCAAAAUAGCUCUUGGCCAUUUGCACGAGGUUAGAUCUCACUGAAGUCUGAGAAGUGAGGGAAUUAAGGUGAGCACAGGUUUACAAAGGAAAUCAGAGGUUAUGACUAAACCGGGACUUCUUUUUAUCGUAUUUAAAAAUCACUGAGAAAUACCAGCUUCAAUGAAGCUGUGAAGACAUAGCUUUGCACUUGAGGUAUCUGUACAUCAUAACAAAUACCCCGUAAGUGCCUGUAAGUCAGGGGAGACUGAGGAGCUAUAUUCCUCAGCAAUGCCUGGAAUAUGGGACAGCCUCUGAGUACAAAUGACCCAACUCAUGCUGCUGCUGAAUGCAAGGAUUGCCAGGGCGACUGCUCUACCCCACCCUCGAGUAGACUAGCAGACUGGAUAACUACAGAUAUUCUUUGCACCCCGAGUACAGAAGUCCUAUAAACUUUCCCGAGAUGGAUCAUGUAGCAAUGCAAAUUGAA